AUGAACGCUAGCUACAGGCUUAACACAUGCAAGUCGAGGGGCAGCAUGGUCUUAGCUUGCUAAGGCCGAUGGCGACCGGCGCACGGGUGAGUACACGUAUCCAACCUGCCGUCUACUCUUGGACAGCCUUCUGAAAAGGAAGAUUAAUACAAGAUGGCAUCAUGAGUCCGCAUGUUCACAUGAUUAAAGGUAUUCCGGUAGACGAUGGGGAUGCGUUCCAUUAGAUAGUAGGCGGGGUAACGGCCCACCUAGUCUUCGAUGGAUAGGGGUUCUGAGAGGAAGGUCCCCCACAUUGGAACUGAGACACGGUCCAAACUCCUACGGGAGGCAGCAGUGAGGAAUAUUGGUCAAUGGGCGAGAGCCUGAACCAGCCAAGUAGCGUGAAGGAUGACUGCCCUAUGGGUUGUAAACUUCUUUUAUAAAGGAAUAAAGUCGGGUAUGCAUACCCGUUUGCAUGUACUUUAUGAAUAAGGAUCGGCUAACUCCGUG
rnacentral:rRNA from 1 species